CCUACGGGUGGCUGCAGUGAGGAAUAUUGGUCAAUGGGCGCGAGCCUGAACCAGCCAAGUAGCGUGAAGGAUGACUGCCCUACGGGUUGUAAACUUCUUUUAUCAAGGAAUAAAGUGAGGCACGUGGGCCUUACUGUAUGUACUUUAUGAAUAAGGUUCGGUUAACUCCGUGCCACCAGCCGCGGUAAUAGGGAGGUUCCGAGCGUUAUCCGGAUUUAUUGGGUUAAAAGGGAGCGUAGAUGGGUUGUUAAGUCAGUUGUGAAAGUUCGCGGCUCAACCGGUGAAUUGCAAUUGAUACUGGCAGUCUUGAGUGCAGUUGAGGUAGGCGGAAUUCGUGGUGUAGCGGUGAAAUGCUUAGAUAUCACGAAGAACUCCGAUUGCGAAGGCAGCUUACGAACCUGCCACUGACGUUGAUGCUCGAAAGUGUGGGUAUCAAACAGGAUUAGAUACCCUGGUAGUC
rnacentral:rRNA from 1 species